UUUUAUUUUUAUUUCAUGGCGUAAAUUAAUAAGGACGCUAGAAUUGAACUGAAAACAUUUCGGGAAUCGCAAUAGAAAUUCAGAAAGAAUCGGAAUAUAAAAGGAAAAGUCUAUUUUAGCUUUAGGACGUUGUUUUGUUGUAACCGCUAAUUUAUUCCCCCAUACUAAUGAAUUUUAGUCGUCUUUUGAAGGGACUUUGGUGUUUAACAAUUAAUUAGAGUGAGUAAAGAGAAUAAAUGGACUAAAAAUCGCUCAUAUGUAUAUAGUUGCAUAUCUUUAACUGGGAAUUAAAUGUGCAAAAGAUAGUAUAAUUUUACUUAUUUAACUGUUAAUUAAAAUGCUAAUAAAUAUUUAACAAAA